UGGAGUGAGUGGCGAACGGGUGAGUAACACGUGAGUAACCUGCCCCUUCUUUGGGAUAAGCCCGGAAACGGGUGCUAAUACUGGAUAUUCACUGGCCUUCGCAUGGGGGUUGGUGGAAAGGUUUGUUCUGGUGGGGGAUGGGCUCGCGGCCUAUCAGCUUGUUGGUGGGGUGAUGGCCUACCAAGGCUUUGACGGGUAGCCGGCCUGAGAGGGUGACCGGUCACAUUGGGACUGAGAUACGGCCCAG
rnacentral:rRNA from 1 species